rnacentral:rRNA from 1 species
CCUACGGGUGGCAGCAGUGAGGAAUAUUGGUCAAUGGGCGCAAGGCUGACCCAGCCAAGUAGCGUGAAGGAUGACUGCCCUAUGGUUUGUAAACUUCUUUUAUAAGGGAAUAAAGUGAGCCACGUGUGCCUUUUUGCCUGUACCUUAUGAAUAAGCAUCGGCUAACUCCGUGCCAAAAGCCGCGGUAAUACGGAGGAUGCGAGCGUUAUCCGGAUUUAUUGGGGUUAAAGGGAGCUUAGUUGGUGUUUUAAGUCAGUUGGGAAAGUUUGCGGCUCAACCAUAAAAUUGCAGUUGAUACUGGCAGCAGUGAGGACAGUAGAGGUAGGCGGAAUUCGUGGUGUAGCGGUGAAAUGCUUAGAUAUCACGAAGAACUCCGAUUGCGAAGGCAGCCUACUAAACCGCAACUGACAUUGAUGCACGAAAGUGUGGGUAUCAAACAGGAUUAGAUACCCCAGUAGUC